rnacentral:rRNA from 1 species
CCAAUAGCGUAUAUUAAAGUUGUUGCAGUUAAAAAGCUCGUAGUUGAAUUUCGGGAUCAAGGAAUCGGUCAUGCCUUGGUAUGUACUGGUUUUAUUGGUUCUCACCUUCUAAAGAACCAUAAUGUCAUUCAUUUGAUGUUAUGGGGAAUUAGGACUGUUACCUUGAAAAGAUUAGAGUGCUUAAAGCAGGCUUACGCUUGAAUACAUUAGCAUGGAAUAAUGAAAUAGGACAUCAGAUUCUAUUUUGUUGGUUUCUAGGAUCGAUGUAAUGAUUAAUAGGGAUAGUUGGGGGCAUUAGUAUUCAAUUGUCAGAGGUGAAAUUCUUGGAUUUAUUGAAGACUAACUACUGCGAAAGCAUUUGCCAAGGAUGUUUUCAUUAAUCAAGAACGAAAGUUAGGGGAUCGAAGACGAUCAGAUACCGUCGUAGUCUUAACCAUAAACUAUGCCGACUAGGGAUCGGAUGAUGUUUAUUUUUUAGUGACUCAUUCGGCACCUUACG